GGGAGCGGUUUACCCUCCCCGACGGCUAUAUUCGGCGCGAGCGCCCAUCCACCCCAAGCGCCCAUAUGGCUUAGACCCGUCCGGUUGUCCCCCCGGGCGGGUC
rnacentral:sRNA from 1 species